GUCGCCGGGAAGCCAAGGCUAUGGCCGGGUGGGGGAAGAAAGAUGCGAGUCCGGGGUGAGCCGAGCGCGUCCCCAAAGUACGCUGUUCGGGGAAACUCAGGGUGGGGGCACCGUCCCGCUCCAACAAUGGUAAAGUUUCCGUGUAAUUCCUUUGCGGUGCCCAGGCCCCCACAAGAUGCCGCUGUGCCUCCUGAUAGUCUAGGCUCCGUAGGACCCGGGGGCGAGGGGGGAUCGCUCCCCCAGAGGCGGAAAGCUCUGUCCUGCUGUACAGAAUCUGCUUCGGGUGCGAUCACCUCCACGCGUCCGGCGGGUCCCACGGGGGAGGAGGGAGUAGUAAAGAAGACGAAAAAAAAGUCGAUCCUCCGAAAUAAAAUGUAGAAUUAUCUAGAAGAAUCCUUCCAAAAACUUUCCGGAAGAAAAUAAACCGAAUUUCACAGCCCCCAAGAAGAAGAACCACAACAAUCAAGUUCCAGCUCCGCGUGUCCCAGCCUUGACCGUAGAUCUCAGUCUUAUGAAUGAAGCUCGGAGCCGCCAGCCUGUAUUUAUAUGCCCGGGGCCCGGCCCCCUUGUUGACGUCACCCGUCCCUCACUCGGCAAACUUCUCGAUAUCUCCGGCCCUUGUGAACCCAGCCCCGCACCGUCCGGCAAGAGCUUCACUUUUCCCGGAUGGACAAAGAGUGUGUAUCUUGGACCCUGCUGCCCCCAGAGGUGCGGCGUUUGGGAGGCAGCCCCUGUGUGAUUCCAAGGCUCUGGCUCCAAAAGACAGGUCUGUGAGAGUUUCUGAUGCUGAGUGGAGAGGGUGCACAUGUGUGGGUGUAGGUUCUACUGCGGCGACUGCGACCUCCAAGAGGGUAGAGCUGAGCUGGUUAGUAACUGCUGGGUCCUCCGGGCCCAGGGUUAAGUAGUGAGUGUUACUGGCUGGCUGGGCCCACUCUCCAUUGAGCAAUCCUGGAGGCCUCCUGGAGGCGGUGUCUGUGGAGUUUCAGGGAAGCAGAGCAGUCCAGACUUGGGACUCUUAGCUUGCCCUUAGUACCCCUGCAUCCUGCAUUCAAACUCCUCACUCACCACAGCCCACAAAGUCUGGCAUGACCUGGCUGGGGCCGACCACCCCAGUCUCGCCUCCUCCUCCUCUUCUUCGUGUGGUCUGUCUCCCUGGUCUUCAGAUCUUUGCAUGUGCUCUUCCCUUUGCCUGGAGCAUGCUCCCUUUUCCUCCCUCUAGCUCAUACUCUCUUCCUCCAGGUCUCAGCUCCUCUGUUCCCUCCUCCAGGAAGCCCUCCCUGGGUUAGCACCCUUCCCUUAGAGAGCCCCCCUCCCCUCUAUGCCUGUCUGGGUUCAUCACUCUCUGGGGACAAUCUGCUCUUCUUCAUUGGGGUGUAUUAUUAUUCAGACCUGAGUCGAGGUUGUCCAAGUCACAGCCACCUCCCCAGCACAGUGCCAGGUACUCAGCAGGUGCUCAGUAAAUAUUUGUUGAUUAAAUGAUUCUUCAUCUUCCACUCACUUACUCAGUUAUCAACUCUGACAGACUGCCUUGGACAGAAACAUAUCUGUUCCUUUGCCAUUUCAUGGAUUGAAGGGGGAAGAUGCUAUAGACUAACUGACAGGCAGCACGGCUGUACACGGGUGUAGGGACUUGGCUCUCAGUGUUGAUAAACAGUCGCCUGUCUGUCCUCCCUGCCUUUUCCCAGCUGAGCUGGUGACCCUGGGUCUUCCCAGGGUUGAGGUGGACACAUUCGUCAGGGGUGGGAAGGAGGAGGCUUGGUUUACAGAAUCCAAACUGUGGAGACAAAAAGACAGACACACAGGCAGACAACACAAAUGUGCAUGCACACAAAGAACUAAACGAACACACAAUCACACACAGAGCUUAACACACACUCUCAUGCACACACACUGCAGAAAUGUGUAGACAACAGAUACUGACAGGCCACAACUCUACACACACAAACUGGCAGAGCUAGGCACCCCCACUGCCACGGAGAGGCCCCAGGGCUAUAGACUGGCAGCAUUUCUUAGCUACCCACAUUUGUGUGGAGAUUCCCGCCUCCAAGUCAGUCGGACACAAGGAAGCUUCACAGUCUUGCUCAGAGUUGCAUACAAACCUACAGAACAAGGCACACAGGGAUACAGCAUCACACACUCAGAUCCCAUUUCUGUGUACCCUCUUUCCCACGCAUGCUCACAGCUACACACACGCAGUUUCACGUGUGAGGGCAUGCAGACACUGCUAAGCAGAGGCUACUUUCAGAUGCUGACUUGUGUCAGGCCCUGGUCCAGAGGCCCUGCGAACCCCGUCACUGUGGGAGCCAACCUCUCACCCAUCCCAACUCAGACCCACACAGUGUGAUGGUGUUUCACUGGCUAUAACUGCUCUAGGCAUUGGGGGGAUGGGAGUGCUUAGGGAGGCCUGAGCAAGUCAGGAGGACUUCCUGGUGGAGGUGGGUCUGGGCAACUACUGUCAAAUCCUGAAAAGAUUUAGAUAAGGAGGGAGUCUGUGAAAGCACUCUCUCCCUACUAUAGACAUCCAAGACCAAAGAGAGGAAGCAGGAGAGCCUGCAGGAAGCUAAAAGGAAGGACCGGACCAAGGUGGUAAGGAUAACAGUUUUGGAGACCUUUCCAGCUGCACUUUGAAUGAAAAUAGUAGUAGUAGUAAUAAUAGCUGGCAGUCACUUGAGAAAACUAACCAUGUGCCAGUUGCUCCAUACAGAUCCGCUGUAUUUUCUUAAGUCUUCUGAUACACUAUAAGGAGGGCACUAGUUGUGUGACUCUGGGCAAGCAACUUCUCUGAUCUCAGUUUCCUCAUAUGUAAAGUGGAGAUAAUAACAGCACCUCCCUCCUAGCGUUUUGAGGAAUAAAUGAGUUUGUAUGUAAAAAUGCCCA
ensembl:lncRNA